rnacentral:tRNA from 1 species
GGCCUCGUAGCUCAGCUGGCAGAGGGUGCGCUGUUCAACAGCGCAGGCGGCAUCCAUUCGUGGGUUCGAAUCCCACCGAGACUA